GAUUAUACUCGACCGUCAGCGGCACGUGCGAUCGCGCGAACUUUCACGAGCGAGCGCGGUCACGAAGCCCUGACGAGUAGGAGGGUCGCGGCGGUGAGCGCAGAAGGGCUGGCCGCGAGGCCGUCUGGAGCCGCCGUCGGUGCAGAUCUUGGUGGUAGUAGCAAAUACUCCAGCGAGGCCCUGGAGGACUGACGUGGAGAAGGGUUUCGUGUGAACAGCCGUUGCACACGAGUCAGUCGAUCCUAAGCCCUAGGCGAAAGCCGAUGUCGAUGCGGUGUAGUUUUUACGAUAAAUAGAUAGAUAGAUAGACGAAAUUCGACGACUACGACGAAAGAAACAUUAAUUCGUCGUCUAGUCGUUGUUGUCGUCGUCGUCGUCAUAAGUCUAAUUAAUAACGCGAGAGCACACACCCGUCGGGCGAAAGGGAAUCCGGUUCCUAUUCCGGAACCUGGCAGCGGAACCGUC
rnacentral:rRNA from 1 species